rnacentral:tRNA from 1 species
GGUAAAAUGACUGAUUAAAGGUGAUAAAUUGUAAAUUUAUUUAUGAGAAAUUUUCUCUUUUACCA